GGCAGCGUGAGCCAGGAAUCCCACUCAUUCAUUGAGUGGGAGAUUCACGAUGCUGAGUCGCGGGUUCAAGACGCCACUCCCGCCGCUGCCGCCA
rnacentral:tRNA from 1 species